rnacentral:tRNA from 1 species
CGCAGCUUCUCGGCCAGGGUCUCGGUCUCGUUCUUGGUGCGGACGAAGACGAUCAUCCCCUCGAAGUUCUCGACCUCGAGGAUGCGG